rnacentral:rRNA from 1 species
UACGAAGGGGGGCGAGCGUUGUUCGGAUUUACUGGGCGUAAAGGGCGCGCAGGCGGUCAUUUUUGUCGAGUGUGAAAGCCCCGGGCUUAACCUGGGAACUGCGCUCGAAACGGGAUGACUAGAGAUCGGGAGAGGAGAGUGGAAUUCCCAGUGUAGAGGUGAAAUUCGUAGAUAUUGGGAAGAACACCGGGUGGCGAAGGCGGCUCUCUGGACCGAUACUGACGCUGAGGAGCGAAAGCGUGGGGAGCGAACAGG